AUGGUCCUCACCGACCACGAUGGCACCACCGUGUGGCAAACUGAGGGCGACCUCCCAAAUGUCGAGUAUGCUCAGCUUCUUGACACCGGGAACCUCGUCCUGAAGAACACAAGCGGCAACAUUGUUUGGCAGAGCUUCGAUUCACCAACAGACACCUUCCUACCCACCCAGCGAAUCCCUGCCACGGCGAAGUUAGUCUCUACCAGCCGGCUGCAUGUUCCUGGUCACUACACCUUCCGUUUUAGUGACCAAUCCAUGCUGUCUCUCUUCUACGAUGACACCAAUGUUUCUGACAUAUACUGGCCUGAUCCUGAUUACCAGUACUAUGAGAAUAACAGGAACCUCUAUAACAGUACUCGGAUGGGGAGCCUUGAUGAUUUCGGGGAAUUUUUUGCCAGUGAUUUCGCUUGGCACCGGCCUCUUGUUGCCUCUGAUAGAGGCUAUGGGAUUAAGAGAAGACUUACUCUUGAUUCUGAUGGUAAUCUUAGGAUAUACAGCUUGAGCAAUGGAUCAGAUUCAAACAGGAGAUGGACAGUUUCAUGGGUGGCUGUGUCUCAGCCAUGCAUGAUACAUGGCCUGUGUGGUCCAUAUGGGAUCUGCCACUACUCCCCUGCACCAACAUGUUCUUGCCCACCUGGUUAUGCAAUGAGGAAUCCUGGCAACUGGACACAGGGAUGCGAGCUUACCGUAGAUACCAUCGGAUGCGCGGAUAGUGAACGGAGUGCGACAUUUUUGCAGCUUCCAAACACUGAUUUUUGGGGAUCUGAUCAGCAGCGCAUCAACAAAGUGUCUUUGGAGCGUUGUAUGGACGUAUGCUUGAGUGAUUGCACGUGCAAGGGUUUUCAGUACCAACAAGGAAAUGGCACAUGCUAUCCAAAGAAUCUUCUUUUCAAUGGGAGGAGUUUCCCAACACCUACUGUGCGAACGAUGUACAUCAAGCUCCCCACAAGUUUCAAUGUUUCAAAUACCUCAAUUCCACAGUCCAAUGUGCUCAACACUGAAAUACAUCGUCUCGAAUGUGAUCAUGUGAGCAAAACAAUCAUAGAACCAGUGCCAGACAUGGUUCGUGAAGAUGGCGGUGAUGAUUCAAAAUGGCUCUAUCUGUAUGGGUUCAUUGCUGCAUUUUUUGUCAUUGAGGUUUUCUUCUUCGCGUUUGCAUGGUUCUUCGUUCUACGGAGAGAGUUUAGGUCAUCGCAAUUAUGGGCAGCUGAGGAAGGCUACAAGGUGAUGACUAGUCAUUUCCGGAUGUAUAGUUACAGAGAGCUGGCCAAGGCGACUGAAAAGUUCAAACAUGAGCUUGGAUGGGGAGGUUCAGGUAUUGCCUACAAGGGAACCUUGGAUGAUGAGCGAGAGGUGGUCAUAAAAAGGCUGGAAAAUGUAACAAGGAACAGGGCAGAGUUCCAGGAUGAGUUGCAUGUCAUUGCAAGGAUUAACCAUAUGAAUCUGGCAAGAAUAUGGGGGGUUUGCUCAGAGAGAUCCCAUAGAAUGUUGGUCUUGGAGUAUUUUGAGAACGGCUCAUUAGCUAACAUACUAUUCAGCAACAAAAUCUUGCUGCAGUGGGGUCAGAGGUUCAACAUUGCUUUAGGUGUUGCAAAGGGGCUGGCCUAUCUUCACCAUGAGUGCCUAGAGUGGGUCAUCCACUGCAACCUGAAGCCGGAGAACAUUCUGCUGGAUCAAGAUCUAGAGCCUAAGAUCACCGACUUUGGGUUCGCAAAGCUGCUCAGCAGAACGGGGCCUAAUCAGAAUGUGUCUCGGGCGCGAGGAACCUUGGGCUACAUGGCUCCGGAGUGGGUCACUGGUUUACCGAUCACAGCGAAGGUUGACGUGUACAGCUAUGGGAUCGUGCUUCUUGAACUAGUGUCAGGAACAAGAAUUCUCGACUUUGUUGUUGAUUUGGAGGAGGAUGUCCAUGUGGUGCUCAAGAAGUUCAUUAAGAUGCUUUCUUACAGGUUGGAAGGGGAUGAACUGUUGUGGUUAACAGAGUUUGUAGAUGUCAGACUGGACGGCAAUUUCAACUACCUGCAAGCGAAAGAGUUGAUCAGGAUAGCCGUUUCAUGCCUGGAGGAGGACAGGAAGAACAGGCCAACAAUGGAAUCAAUAGUUGAGAGCCUCCUCUCAGUUGAAGAAGCUUCAGUUUGA
rnacentral:rRNA from 1 species